GUUGGCGCAGCUCGCUCCGCGACAUGCUGGAGAAGUGGGUGGCGCUGAACAUCAGCACCAGUGGCGUGAUGGCAGCAGCAGCUGGAGGAGGAGAUGGAUGCGUGUGAAGUUCUGAAGAUGUUGAAUGCAAGCAACCUAGAACACAACUUUUAGAUACCUUUGAAGAGCAAUAAGAUAUCGAUAUGUCAGGGAGUUCUAGCGACGCAUUAUACAAGGAGCUAUGGCAUGCUUGGGCUAGGCCGUUGAUCACAGUGCCUCGCCAAGGUGAAAGGAUUUACAACUUUCCGCAUGUUUAUAUGGAAC